rnacentral:lncRNA from 1 species
GAAGCAGCUGUAGGAUGCUGAGGUAAACUAUAAUGCCUACCAAGUCGGAUGGAGUGGGCAGGUAGAGGACUACCGAAGGAAGCUCCAGACGGCGACCGACGAAGUAGCCCACCUUCGGAGGUAGUUGUCCAGGAGAGUCCAGCCUGCCUCUGCAUGAGGCUCCGAUGAGCUCUGCUCUUUGAGGGAGACUAUGGCGGAAUUGUCUGUGGCCCUUGGACGGGGGGAGGUCGAACUACAGCGGCUGAAGAUUCAGCUCCACGAGCAGCAGGCGGUCAAGGA